GACGAGGGGUCCAAGCGUUGUUCGGAAUCAUUGGGCGUAAAGCGGGUGUAGGCGGCUCUAUAAGUCAGGAGUGAAAGCCCCAAGCUUAACUUGGGAAGUGCUUUUGAUACUGCAGAGCUUGAAUGUGGGAGAGGGUAGUGGAAUUCCAGGUGUAGUGGUGAAAUACGUAGAUAUCUGGAGGAACACCGGUGGCGAAGGCGGCUACCUGGCCCCAACAUUGACGCUGAGACUCGAAAGCGUGGGGAUCAAACAGG
rnacentral:rRNA from 1 species